CUCAAACAAAUAUAUUUACUCACACAGUCUUGUUAAAGACAAUAAAACCCGGAAAUUUAUGAAGAUGAAAAACAGAAUAGGCGCGAAACAAAAACUGAAAAAUUAGAAACAAAAAAUUAAUCGUUGAAAAGGUAUUCAGGAAAAAAAACAGAAACUAAUUAAGAAAACAAAACAACAGAUGAUGAAAAGAAAAAAACAAUUGUGUCUUGCACAGGAACGGUCAAUCAAGUUUAGGAAGGGGAUUUUGUGCAGUCUCUGUUCACUUGACUUCUCAUCUCUUCCUUUUCGUAGUUGUCUUUCUUUCCUGUUCCUCAAUGCUACAAACAGAGACAUAAUUAAUUAUUACAAAACUAAUGUCUGAAAUCCCAAAAUUUCGAUCAAAGGAAAAAAAAGAAGGAAGAGCUUACAUUUGGCUUCCUCGAGGUGAUGAAUAAGCAGAAUUAUGACCUGAUCCACUUAUUCGAGAAAAAUAUGUGUGACAUUGCGGAAUCGAAACUGCUUUGUGCUGAAAAACUGCGACACUUGUUUGAGAAACAAAAAUAUAAGAAGUGAGUGAAAAAUCUAUGAAUGCGAGUAAAUAUAUAUGAAGGGAAAAAAAUACACAAUAAUUAAUUCCAAUACAAAUUAAAACCUGUUGUCUUCGCACAACAUCUUUUUCAACUUUGUGACUUGUGAAUCACUGUAUGUCAUUUAUUUUCACAAACUCUACAAUCUCAAAUUGUUAAAAAAUCUCCAAUUCUCCUACCUUUUUCUGCAGUUUCAAAAAGUUAGCGGUGAUAGUUUUUUCUGUUUCCACCAGCGAAUCUCGGUCCUUGUAAAGAUAAGGAAAUCUGUAUUUUAGAUGGUAAUAAGUAUAAAGCAUGAAGGUAUAUGCAAUUGAAUUUAAAAAUAAAACCUGCAACACCAAAAUAAAUUGGAUAGUUAAUUAAAUAACUGCAAAGAUGUUUAAUAAUAAAUAAAUAAUAAUAACUGCACACCGAUGGAAAAGAAUGUGGUGAAAGCAUUUUAAUGGAGCAUGAUUUAGACCGAAUUUCAGCACUAUCGGAUUACUUACAGCAAUUUCAAAAUCUAAUUCCUGAUGUGUGAUCAAAUAUUACUACUCUAAAUAUGUCGAAAUGCAAUAAAUUUGCGAAAAGUUUGAAAUGAUAAUCUGUGAAAUUACAUUACCUCUUUCGAC
rnacentral:lncRNA from 1 species